AUGCAAUGGAGAACAAUUUCGAACACAAGCGCGACCACAAGGGAGUUUACACUUGAAUUCUUGGAACAAAUUACCGAUAAGUUUUCUGAGGAGCACAUCGUUGGUCGUGGUGGGUAUGGAGUAGUUUACAAGGGAGUAUUGGAAAAUGGGGAAGAGAUUGCUCUCAAAAAGCUUCAUCACAUGCCGGGACUUGACGACACGCAAUUUAGGAAUGAGUUUAAUAAUCUUAUGAGGGCCCAACAUCCAAAUAUUAUCCGGUUGGUUGGCUAUUGCUAUAAUCUAGGACAUCAAUGCGUUAAGUACGAUGGUGAAUAUAUUUUUGCCCUUUUGGAAGAAAGAGUUCUUUGCUUUGAAUAUUUGCAUGGUGGAAGCCUUGACAAGCAUAUUUCUGACGAAUCCUGUGGACUCAAUUGGCAGACACGUUUCAAAAUUAUUAAGGGAGUUUCUGAGGGUUUGAAUUACCUUCAUAAUGGAUCCAGAGAUCCUAUUUACCAUCUUGACUUGAAACCUGCAAACAUAUUAUUAGACCAGAACAUGGUCCCCAAAAUUGGAGAUUUUGGUUUGUCAAGACUCUUCCCUUCAGUACAAACCUAUAUCACGACUAAAAUUAUAGGAACACCCGGAUACAUGCCACCAAAAUACAUCGAGAGAUAUGAAAUCACAUCGAAGUAUGAUGUAUUCAGUUUGGGUGUUGUAAUCGUGCGGAUAGUGGCAGGAGAUGAGGGCUACUCCAAAUGUGCGCAUAUGUCUUCGCAAGAAUUUAUUGAGCAUGUACAUGAAAACUGGGGGAAAGGACUGCAGGAAACAAUGUCGUCAUAUACAUCAGAGCAGGUUAGCACAUGUCUUGAAAUAGCGCUGAGGUGUGUGGAGGUCGAUCGUGAGAAACGGCCUACUAUAGCAGAGAUUGUUGAUGAACUGAACAAGGUUGAUACUGCAGAAAGUUCACCUAAAGACAAGGUCACCAACCGCCCAAGCAAGCAUUACUUAAACCAAAAUACAAACUCAGGUAAACAUCUCGAUCAAAGGUAUAAAUACCAAUUGGUCAUGGAAGCAAGGCGAAUAGUUAGUGGGGGAUGA
rnacentral:rRNA from 1 species